rnacentral:rRNA from 1 species
UACGUAGGGUGCGAGCGUUGUCCGGAUUUAUUGGGCGUAAAGGGUGCGUAGGCGGUUCGUUAAGUCUGUUGUGAAAUCCCCGGGCUCAACCUGGGAAUGGCAAUGGAUACUGGCGGGCUAGAGUGUGUCAGAGGAUGGUGGAAUUCCCGGUGUAGCGGUGAAAUGCGUAGAGAUCGGGAGGAACAUCAGUUGCGAAGGCGGCUCUCUGGACCAGCACUGACACUGAGGCACGAAAGCGUGGGGAGCAAACAGG